rnacentral:rRNA from 1 species
AUUGAACGCUGGCGGCAGGCCUAACACAUGCAAGUCGAGCGGAUGAAGGGAGCUUGCUCCUGGAUUCAGCGGCGGACGGGUGAGUAAUGCCUAGGAAUCUGCCUGGUAGUGGGGGAUAACGUCCGGAAACGGGCGCUAAUACCGCAUACGUCCUGAGGGAGAAAGUGGGGGAGCUUCGGACCUCACGCUAUCAGAUGAGCCUAGGUCGGAUUAGCUAGUUGGUGGGGUAAAGGCCUACCAAGGCGACGAUCCGUAACUGGUCUGAGAGGAUGAUCAGUCACACUGGAACUGAGACACGGUCCAGACUCCUACGGGAGGCAGCAGUGGGGAAUAUUGGACAAUGGGCGAAAGCCUGAUCCAGCCAUGCCGCGCGUGUGAAGAAGGUCUUCGGAUUGUAAAGCACUUUAAGUUGGGAGGAAGGGCAGUAAGUUAAUACCUUGCUGUUUUGACGUUACCAACAGAAUAAGCACCGGCUAACUUCGUG